UAACGCGAAGAACCUUACCUGGGUUUGACAUGUUUUCGACCGGCCUAGAGAUAGGUCUUUCCUUCGGGACGAAUUCACAGGUGCUGCAUGGCUGUCGUCAGCUCGUGUCGCGAGAUGUUCGGUUAAGUCCGGCAACGAGCGCAACUCGUGUCGUUAGUUGCAAACAGUUCGGCUGUGCACUCUAGCGAGACUGCCCGUGUCAAGCGGGAGGAAGGCGCGGACGACGUCAAGUCAGUAUGGCCCUUAUGCCCAGGGCUGCACACGUGCUACAAUGGUCGGUGCAAUGGGAAGCAAUGUCGCGAGGCGGAGCAAAUCCCCAAAACCGGCCCCAGUUCGGAUUGGAGUCUGCAACUCGACUCCAUGAAGUCGGAAUCGCUAGUAAAGGCGUAUCAGCUACGACGCCUUGAAUACGUUCCCGGGUCUUGUACACACGC
rnacentral:rRNA from 1 species